rnacentral:rRNA from 2 species
GGCGUGCCUAAUACAUGCAAGUCGAGCGGACAUUUGAGAGCUUGCUCUCAACUGUUAGCGGCGGACGGGUGAGUAACACGUGGGUAACCUGCCUGUAAGAUUGGGAUAACUCCGGGAAACCGGAGCUAAUACCGAAUAACAUUUUGAACCGCAUGGUUCGAAAUUGAAAGAUGGUUUCGGCUAUCACUUACAGAUGGACCCGCGGCGCAUUAGCUAGUUGGUGAGGUAAUGGCUCACCAAGGCGACGAUGCGUAGCCGACCUGAGAGGGUGAUCGGCCACACUGGGACUGAGACACGGCCCAGACUCCUACGGGAGGCAGCAGUAGGGAAUCUUCCGCAAUGGACGAAAGUCUGACGGAGCAACGCCGCGUGAACGAUGAAGGCCUUCGGGUCGUAAAGUUCUGUUGUUAGGGAAGAACAAGUACCAGAGUAACUGCUGGUACCUUGACGGUACCUAACCAGAAAGCCACGGCUAACUACGUGCCAGCAGCCGCGGUAAUACGUAGGUGGCAAGCGUUGUCCGGAAUUAUUGGGCGUAAAGCGCGCGCAGGCGGUUUUUUAAGUCUGAUGUGAAAGCCCACGGCUCAACCGUGGAGGGUCAUUGGAAACUGGAGAACUUGAGUGCAGAAGAGGAGAGCGGAAUUCCACGUGUAGCGGUGAAAUGCGUAGAGAUGUGGAGGAACACCAGUGGCGAAGGCGGCUCUCUGGUCUGU